UUGAUCCUGGCUCAGGAUGAACGCUAGCGGGAGGCCUAAUACAUGCAAGUCGAACGGUAACAGGGCAGAACUUCGGUUCAGCCGCUGACGAGUGGCGCACGGGUGAGUAACGCGUACAUAACCUGCCUUCAAGAGAGGGAUAGCCCUGGGAAACCGGGAUUAAUACCUCAUAGUAUUGCUAAGUCGCAUGGCUGUGCAAUUAAAGUUUCGGCGCUUGAAGAUGGAUGUGCGUGCCAUUAGCUAGUUGGUAAGGUAACGGCUUACCAAGGCAACGAUGGCUAGGGGGCGUGAGAGCGUGACCCCCCACACGGGUACUGAGACACGGACCCGACUCCUACGGGAGGCAGCAGUAAGGAAUAUUGGACAAUGGAGGCAACUCUGAUCCAGCCAUCCCGCGUGCAGGAUGACUGCCCUAUGGGUUGUAAACUGCUUUUAUUUGGGAAGAAACCUGUUCAUUUACUGAACAGUUGACGGUACCUUAUGAAUAAGCACCGGCUAACUCCGUGCCAGCAGCCGCGGUAAUACGGAGGGUGCAAGCGUUAUCCGGAAUCACUGGGUUUAAAGGGAGCGUAGGCGGCAUGACAAGUCAGAGGUGAAAGGCUGUAGCUUAACUAUGGAAUUGCCUUUGAUACUGUUGUGCUUGAAUCGAGUUGAGGUCAGCAGAAUGUGACAUGUAGCGGUGAAAUGCAUAGAUAUGUCAUAGAAUACCAAUUGUGAAGACAGCUGGCUGGACUUGUAUUGACGCUGAGGCUCGAAAGCGUGGGGAGCAAACAGGAUUAGAUACCCUGGUAGUCCACGCCCUAAACGAUGCUUACUCGAUGUUGGCUUUUAAAGUCAGCGUCCAAGGGAAACCAUUAAGUAAACCACCUGGGGAG
rnacentral:rRNA from 1 species